rnacentral:rRNA from 1 species
CCUACGGGAGGCAGCAGUGAGGAAUAUUGGUCAAUGGACGCAAGUCUGAACCAGCCAUGCCGCGUGAAGGAAGACGGCCCUAUGAGUUGUAAACUGCUUUUGUACGAGAGUAAACGCAGAUACGCGUAUCUUUCUGAAAGUAUCGUACGAAUAAGGAUCGGCUAACUCCGUGCCAGCAGCCGCGGUAAUACGGAGGAUUCAAGCGUUAUCCGGAUUUAUUGGGUUUAAAGGGUGCGUAGGCGGUCGGAUAAGUUAGAGGUGAAAUCUCGAGGCUCAACUUCGGAAUUGCCUUUGAUACUGUUCGGCUAGAGAGUAGUAGCGGUAGGCGGAAGGUAUGGUGUAGCGGUGAAAUGCUUAGAGAUCAUACAGAACACCGAUUGCGAAGGCAGCUUACCAGGCUACUUCUGACGUUGAGGCACGAAAGCGUGGGGAGCAAACAGGAUUAGAUACCCCUGUAGUC